rnacentral:piRNA from 2 species
UGUAAAAUGAAUUAGCAAUGCCAA